UUCUAGUAAAAACUUGCUUGGCCACUUGUGUAGAAAGAGGAAUUAAUUUAAUAUUUGAAUACUCAGCUGACUGGUUCUCCAUGGGAGCAAGUAGCCAAGUAAAUAUCCAAGAGAGAACGAGGGAAGGGACAAAAUGGCACCAAGCCUGAAUUGUGAAGUCCUCUAUCAUCCUGCAACACCCUGGAUAUGCAAACCGAAUAUCCUCUCUCUUGGUGAGUCACGGCCUCCCACGCCCAGCAGGGUGUAGAAACAUUUGACUGAAACCUGUAUAAAAUAGUAAGAACAAGUCAAGCAGGUAAAACAUUUCCUGGCUGUCAGUUUAAUAAAAGGUUCAACCCUGCUUUAAGAUGGAAGGAAGACGGGAGGCGGGGUUUCAGAAAUACAGGUUUUACAUAAUCCCACAGAAACCAGGGAUCUGCAAUAAGGCUUGAAGAUUUUUAGUCUCACAGGUAUUUCCGUCUGUAAACACAAAUGCACAUGGAAGCUCUGAACACAUAGUUUGUGUUUGUUUUAUAUUAAGAGGAUGGGCAUUUCUUUAGAGCUCCAGGCGUUGAGUAGAUGACCAUUUGGAGGAGAUGAUGAGUUUCCUCUUCAAAAUGCAAGAUGUCGAUCAACAUUCAUGCUGUUCCUAUUUCUAUUUUUUUCCUCCCUUCUACCCCUUACUCCUGAAAUGGAUAAGAAGAGGCAAUAAUAGCAUCCCAGCAAAUCAGAACUGGCUCAGAUGCCAAAGGCCUAAAAGAGACGAUCGCAUUAGCAAGAAGGCCUGUGACUAAAAAUCCAAAACCUAAAACUACUAUACGUAAACCUAGGGCUCAAAUAGCCUACACUACUGUGACAUCAGAAGCAUUAUUUCUCAAGAUUGAGAAGGGCUAGUGAAAACGCUUCUGGGCCUGCAAAGCUGUGAACUGAUGUGCAAGGCUGCAGUAGCCCAAGCUGAUCCUGAUGAACACUGGAGCUGUCUCUGCCUCUUUAUGUAAAUAGAAAAUGUUCCUAAUAAACGUGUACUAGGUCGUUGUCGGUAAACACAUGUUAGGCACCCGCUUGGCCUGCACCGAUCUGACCAGAUCUAUUUCCAUUUCCCCGAACCAUCGCUUGGAUGAUGAAGCACAUCGCAGAGUACUGCUUCAUCACCAUUCAGGAAUUGUACCCUUUUAAAUUUCUAUAUGGGUAUGCGCUGCUUUUGACACAGCUUUUGUUGUAAGCAGGCACUAAAAUAGAAGCUUAUAAUUAGCUAUCUGGGGAGGCAAGUGUGUGGUAGAACAGAGCUCAGCAAGAGAAAAGUCAAGGCAGGUCCUGGGGAAACACUGCAUGGAAGAUGAGUAAUACAGAGCCCAAGAGUGGAUUGGCAGGAAGGGUGCAGGACCUAACCCAAUGACAAUGCUCGCAGGAGGAGCCCUCCAGAAGGCAACAGCUCCAAACCUCUUGGUACAAAGGAACUCUCUACGUUUAGUUCUCUCGACAACUACCUACUAUAAGAUGAAGUUUCCAGGAACUCAUGUGAUCAUGAGACUCUGCAGUCACUUCAGGGGGUCUUGUUGACUGGCUCGGGGGGCUGGUGUCAAGCCCAAGCAGAAGAGCCCUCAGAGCAAGCAGCCCUGCUUCUGUGGAUGCUGGAUGGCAUCAUCACCAGGCGGGUCCUUCAGAGUACUGGGAGCAGCAUGCAGCCCGAUAGAGUUGGCAAACGUGAAUCUACUAGAAGAUUGACAUGGAGAUCGACAACAGGAUGGUGGACCUCAUGGCCCACACGGCCUCUAAGGAAUAAGACCCCCAGACCACUAGCCCCAGCAAAAACACAAGAGGAAGAGAGAGGCCCUCAGCUGCUGGGGACAACUUAUCCACAUUCAUGGCAAUGUACUGAAGAAAUAUAUAUUGAGCACCAACUAUGAACCAGGCACCAGGACACACCAAGAACACAUUGUUCAUGAUGCAGAGAAGAAACACUUGCAUAACAACUAUAUAUUGUGGUAACUGUUCUACUAAAGAUUAAUGUGAAUUACCAGGAAAGCAGAAAGAAGGGAAUGACACGUCUGAGAAGUCUUCAUAAAAGUACAUUGCUAAAGGAUGACCAAAAUGUUCAAAGGUGAAAAUGACAAUUUCAGGCAAAGAGAACAAUUGAUGCAAAGGCAUGUAAUUACGACACAGCAUAGCAUGUCUAGAAAAGGACAAGAAGUUUGGUGUGGAGCAAUUAGGGGAGUGCAAGGAGAUGCAAAGAUACACAGCUGGAGAUAAAGUGGGUGCUGUGGAAAGUCUUCUAAGCCCUGCUAAUGAGUUUCAAAUUUAUUCACUAUGCAUUG